AGACUUCCCUCUAGAAUCCUCCAACAUGGAGCCUCUUGCAGCUUACCCGCUAAAAUGUUCCGGGCCCAGAGCAAAGCUUUUAUGCCUUUGAAGUGAAGGAUGCAAAAGGAAGAACUGUUUCUCUGGAAAAGUAUAAAGGCAAAGUUUCACUAGUUGUAAACGUGGCCAGUGACUGCCAACUCACAGACAGAAAUUACUUAGCCCUGAAGGAACUGCACAAAGAGUUUGGACCAUCCCACUUCAGCGUGUUGGCUUUUCCCUGCAAUCAGUUUGGAGAAUCGGAGCCCCGCCCAAGCAAGGAAGUAGAAUCUUUUGCAAGAAAAAACUACGGAGUAACAUUCCCCAUCUUCCACAAGAUUAAGAUUCUAGGAUCUGAAGGAGAACCUGCAUUUAGAUUUCUUGUUGAUUCUUCAAAGAAGGAACCAAGGUGGAAUUUUUGGAAGUAUCUUGUCAACCCUGAGGGUCAAGUUGUGAAGUUCUGGAGGCCAGAGGAGCCCAUUGAAGUCAUCAGGCCUGACAUAGCCGCUCUGGUUAGACAAGUGAUCAUAAAAAAGAAAGAGGAUCUAUGAGAAUGCCAUUGUCUUUCUAAUAGAACAGAGAAAUGUCUCCAUGAGGGUUUGAUCUCAUUUUAAACAUUUUUUUUUUGGAGACAGUGUCUCACUCUGUCGCCCAGGCUGGAGUGCAGUGGUGCAUUCUCAGCUCAUUGCAACCUCUGCCUCUUUAAACAUGCUAUUAAAUGUGGCAAUGAAGGAUUUUUUUUUAAUGUUAUCUUGCUAUUAAGUGGUAAUGAAUGUUCCCAGGAUGAGGAUGUUACCCAAAGCAAAAAUCAAGAGUAGCCAAAGAAUCAACAUGAAAUAUAUUAACUACUUCCUCUGACCAUACUAAAGAAUUCAGAAUACACAGUGACCAAUGUGCCUCAAUAUCUUAUUGUUCAACUUGACAUUUUCUAGGACUGUACUUGAUGAAAAUGCCAACACACUAGACCACUCUUUGGAUUCAAGAGCACUGUGUAUGACUGAAAUUUCUGGAAUAACUGUAAAUGGUUAUGUUAAUGUAACAAAACACAAAUGUUGCAAAAUGUAAAAUAUAUAUACAUAGAUUCAAAUCCUUAUAUAUGUGUGCUUGUUUUGUGUACAGGAUUUUGUUUUUUCUUUUUAUGUACAGGUUCCUAGUGUUUUACUGUAACUGUCACUAUGUAUGUAACUGACAUAUAUAAAUAGUCAUUUAUAAAUGACCGUAUUAUAACAUUUGAAAAAGUCUUCAUCAUUUUCAGUAUUUCUCUCUGCAUUAUUUUUUAGAAGCAACUCAAAUUCUGUAAUCAUAAUAUUACCAAGUAAGUCAGUCUUUAUUUUUGUGUGAAAAUCCCAAGUGUAGAAAAAAGGACAUGAGUAUAAGAUCAUUUAACUUGAUUCCUUAUAGGCUGAUUUGGGUUGCUAAUGUAUUCGUACUAGAUUAGCCACUUGGAAGGAAUUCAAUGCUGCAUCAUUCUGAUAGCUGAAAUGGUAAAAGUCAACUCCAAACAGCCUAAACUCUAGUAUAAAAAGGGGGUGGUCAUACAAGUCCUAAAGUGUAGAUCAGCAGUCACUGAACCUCUUAGAGUCACAAGGCAUUUCUUCUCCCAAAGUCAUGACCUUUAUAUUUUGUUAGCCUUAUAAUUGACUAACAAAGCAACCUGCCAAGUUGGUGAAGGUUAAUUAUUGCCUCAUGAAAUAUACAUUCAUCGCAUACAAGAAUUAAAUAGGAAGAUGGCCAAAAAUGUAAAAAAGUCAUAUAAAUUUGUCUAAGAAGAAAAAGACCCAAUUUAAGUAGUCUGUGACUUGACUCCCAAAUUCUGACCUGAUGGAUGAAAGUGAAGAUGUUUCUUAUGGCGAAUUCAGUAAUGCUACCUCAGUAUAUAGUUCUGUAUACGUAUUUGGACCAAAGUUCUUAGAUAAACCAAAAAUAUUUCAUGAAGCAUCUUCUGCUUCAGAGGACAUAUCCAGCCACCCAGCUAUGAAUGUAUUUAGAAAGAUAUUUGGUGGAGGUGGAAUUUCUACCAGAGGUCAAGAGGAUUUGUAAGGAUAGCCUCAAGAAUGCCAGAUAAGUGUGUCAGCAAGCCUGCUCCUACCUCUCACCAGCUGCGUGACUUUAGGCAAGUCACUUAAGUACCUUAUUUCAGUUUCCUCACCUGUAAAUUGAACAGGCGUUGAAUGUAAUAAAAAGCCCUUUGCAACUCUAAAAGUCAAUUAACACACUUACUUAGGUGUUUUAAGUGACCAGGAAGGAAAUCAGAACUAACCUGGAUUGUUAGCGAAGAAAACAGAAGCCACAAACAAGUCUAUCUGUCCUUUGCAAUUUUGCCCCAAGAGCCUAUUAGCAAUUUAAAUUCUGAGCCUCUAAGAAAACUUUUGUUCAGGCGGCCCCUCCAAGUGUUGCUGCCAGAGCACUCUUGCCUUGUAUCCCCACCUACGCCUUCCAUGAGCUCAUAGCAGUGCUGUGGCACUGCAGGGGUGUUUUAUGCGUUCACGUUAGGGGCAUGAGCAGAACUGCAUAUGCCAGCACCACAUGGGCAACAGAGACUCCCCACUGCCAGAUGGAUGAUAAUGGAGCUGCACUGGGAACAACCAGGACUGUCCCAGUCAACAUGAUACAGAUGAACAUCCUGCCUUAAGUCACUAGUUCUCUCCAAAGCCAGAUAAAGUGGGUUUCUUCACUUACAUCUCUCUAAUCUUGGUUGCCUUAUUCAACCUACAGACUCUGUGUCAGUGCUGGAUUUUCUCCCUUUGCCCUUUAGGUAAGCAGAGUAGGCAGGAGGGGAUUUGAAAGCGUGUCAUACAUAUUGCCUUGAAAGAAAGGACAUUCAGGUGUCCCUUUGGGGUUCUGUAACAAUUAGGCUAUGUGUGCUGAGAGAGGGAGUGGAGUCAUUUGCCGAUGUGCUGCUACCUGUAACUCAAAUGCCUCAUAGGAAUACCAGCGGACAAACACACAGAGGAAAAGUUGAAUCUUUCCUAUAUUGGACAAUCUUCCUUCAGUCUUGUUUCUGCAUCAAAAAGUCUGGGACACAGAGUGCUACAGGAUGCCUGGGCUAAGGACUGUAACAGAAAAAUAUCAACAUCAGAGCCUGGCGCAGUGGCUCACACCUGUAAUCCCAGCACUUUGGGAGGCCGACGUGGGUAGAUCACUUGAGGUCAGGAGUUCGAGACCAUCCUGGCCAACAUGGUGAAACCCCCAUCUCUACUAAAAAUACAAAAAUUAGCCAGGCAUGGUGGCAUGUGCCUGUAAUCCCAGCUACUUGGGAGGCUGAGGCAGAAAAAUCACUUGAAAACAGGAGGCUGAGGUUGCAAUGAGCCAAGAUCGCACCACUGCACUCCAACCUGGGCAACAGAGCGAGACCCCAUCUCAAAGACCCUGUCUCAAAAAAAAGAGAAAAAGAAAAAGAAAAA
rnacentral:sRNA from 1 species